GCCCCUGUAACCCAAUCCGGCAGAGGUAGCGGCCUCAGACACCGUGCAGUGCAGGUUCGAGUCCUGCCGGGGGCACCA
rnacentral:tRNA from 1 species